CCACACUGAGCCAUGAACUCUUUGUGAUGCUGUUAACAUUCAUGCUGUAGUUGAUAGACACAACUUGGUACAGAUGGCGGAGUUGGUGUUUUAAAGCUUGUCUACUGUAAUGGCUAAAAGUAAGAAGAACCCGUAUUACCUUAACACUUUGUGAUGAUGGUUGCCUAGCAAUAAAGCUUCCUCUGAUAUAGGACCCUGCCAUGCAAAUGGCCAGGGCGCAUGUGCGGAGGCUUCCAAAAUGGCCACUACCAGGAAAAGGGCCAGAACAGACCAAAAAUGGGCCGAAACGGCCCUUUGAAGACUGGUUGGAGGCCAAUGGGGAAAGGGGGAAAUGGUGGAGACCCCCUCCCAUGGCUGUGGAGGCACCACCCAAGGCGGCCAGACCUGCAGUUGCCUAUCACUGCUUUAGAGCAUAGGAGAGUUUGAGAUAUUGGCUCUCCAGUCUGACAUGGAUCAUACCAAUGCUUCAGGAAGCCAUAGACGUCAUCUGUAUUGUUUGCUCUCAUUGUUUACUCUACUCUACCAGAGGCAUCUAUCAAUCAGACUGUGUCCUAAUGAGGGCCUUGUCCUCAUUGUCUUCAGUGGGACAGAUUAUUCACUUGGAAGUGUCUCCGUAUAAAAGGUGGAACAUCUCAGGUCUUUGGAAGGAAGGAAGGAAGGAAGGAAGGAAGGAAGGAAGGAAAAGAAAUUUUCAUACAAGUAGCCAUUUCUCACUGUGAAGAUUUGCACAUAGCUAUGAUGUCGCCUGGUGAGUCUGGAGGGUGGAACCUGUUGAGUAUUUCACGGGCAGCUCAAAAGAGUAAUGAGAAGACAAGUGAUGUUCCAUGGCAGGUGGAUACCAUACAGUCUGGCCUUAUUUAAUCACCACACAAA